rnacentral:lncRNA from 1 species
UAUGUCCUAAGGGCUAAAAGGGCCUUUUUAUAUUUCAAAAUUUUGUGGUGCUUGUGAGCUUUUCUUUUUUUAAUUUUUUUUAUUUAUGUCAAGCUUAGAUGAAAGUUGUCAAUGAUGCAUAUUCUUUGGUUCUAAGAAGCUCUUAAUUUCUACAGGCAACAUAUGUGUGUGAUUACAUUCUUGGUGGUCAACUCAAUGGAUCUAGCUCCACAAAAGAAGCAUUUCUAGAGGUAAAGCUAUAGAUUCAUAUUAACUCUUAAGGCUUAACUAAGCAUUUUCUUAUCCGGAAUUUUACAAGAUAAAUGUUGCCUUGCAUGUAGAAAUUUAAAUAUGCAGUUUCUAAGGGAUUUGAUCCGGAUGUUGACCUGGAUAAGGUUGGUAUUGCAAAUCAAACUACAAUGCUUAAGGGAGAAACAGAAGAGAUUGGUAAGUAUAAGUUACAAUAUGCUGUUCCAAUUUUACUCUGAGAGAUUUCUGUUUAUUUUCUAAAACUAUGUAUAUUUUUUCCUUUGCAGGAAAAUUGGCGGAGAAGACCAUGAUGCGCAAAUAUGGAGUGGAAAAUGUUAAUGACCACUUCAUUAGCUUUAACACAAUUUGUGAUGCUACUCAAGUAAUUCUCCUCUAUUAUCAUGGUUUUGCAUGUAGUUUUCAUAAGAGUUGUGGGAAAACAUUAUUUUAAAGAAAAUUCAACAUCCUUUCAUGGCCCCUUUUAUUUUUAAUUUAUACAAAACGCAAAAUGGCAGAUAUCUUUUCCUUUAAAAAGAAAUCCAAAAUUCAAACAAGUUAGUUACCUCACCUUGCUCCACUCAAAGGGAUAGAAGACAAAAAUGGAUGACCAAUGAUAGCCUUUAAUCCUGCACAUGCACGUAUUCAUACUGAUCCAAUUUGCAAAUUAGCUAGAAUGAAGUUGCUUGACUGCUAGUUUAUAUAUUUUCUGCUAACACAACGCUUAUUUGCUAUUUGCAGGAGCGACAAGAUGCUAUGUAUAAGUUGGUGGAGGAGAAGUUGGAUCUUAUUUUAGUAGUUGGUGGGUGGAACUCGAGCAACACCUCCCAUCUACAAGAAAUUGCUGAGCAUUAUGGAAUUCCUUCAUACUGGAUUGACAGUGAACAGAGGAUUGGUCCAGGAAACAGAAUAGCUUAUAAGUUGAAUGUGAGUAUAAAUGCUUGUAUUUGCUGUUCUUAAGCCAAGCUUUUGUUUUCCAUUUUUAUCUCAUUGAUUUUUUCCUUUUCAAAUUUACUUUAAUAGCACGGGGAGUUGGUCGAGAAAGAGAACUUCCUACCAGAAGGUCCCAUUACAAUUGGUGUAACAUCUGGUGCCUCUACUCCUGACAAGGUAAUUCACUUAUUUAUGUGUAUAGCUCUUGUCUUUAUUUCUGGGUAAUAUGCUGCAACUAUAGAUGGCUUGCCCUGCCUAAAGUAUCUGCUUUUGUUUAAAUUUCUUGCAUCUGCAUCCUCAAGACAUAUACAGUGUUUGUUUGAGUUUACAGGUGAACUAACUUUAUGUUGCGUAAUAAUUCAACAUUAAUUAGGUUGUUGAAGAUGUCCUUGUGAAGGUAUUUGACAUCAAGCGUGAAGAAGCCUUGCAAGUAGCAUAACUGUAGCUUGUGCAUCCAUCAACAAUGGCAGUAUACUGUAUAACUGUGUGUAUCAUUAACAAGAAAAGGCUUAGCAAGAUCUCUGAUAUAGCCUUCCAUGUACUCAAAAUCAUAAUGUUGGUAAUAUAGAGAUUGUAGGUUUAAGAUUUGCAAUUAGUGGUUGCAUAAUUUGACAGAAAAGAAUUCUAAAAUCAUACACAAGCCUGCACUGCACAUAUUUCACUCGGAUUAGUAUAAGAGAGAAUUGCAAGUCCAAAGAGGCCUUCUUCCAUUUGUUUUCUUUUUCCCCUUAAAAUUUCUUUUGCUUGAAGCUCAUAACAAAGACUCGUUAAGAAAAGCUGUUGAACUCAGCCCAGGAUCACUUAUUCAUCCAACUAAAUCGUAACGGUCCGAUAUAAAUUGUCUGUAAAUCCAACAAUGGAGGAAUCACCUUCGUUGGAGCUGAUGCAUGAUGAAGUACAUCAUUGUUUGUUCAUGGAAAAAAGGUUCAACUCGCUCUAUGAACGUUUAGUCAAAUUUAAAUGAGAAAUUAUUUUUUUUAAACUUUUUGUGGAAAUUAACAAUUAACAUUUCAGUUGAGUUUAGAUUAGUUUUGUCUUAAUUUAAUAAAAAAAUAUACUUCCAAUAUAAGGAUAUUAUUUUUGUAUUUUUAUAUUUUUAGGAAUUAUUAUGUUCAAAUAAAUUAAAAAUUGAAAAAUUCAAGACAAGAAACCCACGAAAAAUCUCCUACGGCCACAUUCUUUUUCAAAAUCAAAUGCUAAAUCCCCCAUAAAGUUCAUGAUAUCUUUAAUGAUAUCUUUAAUAAUGAUAUCUUUAUUUUCUCAUAAUUUUUGUAAACCCUUUUUUUGUUAUUUUAAAAUUAUUAUCUAAUUUCUUUUUUUUAUACUAUAAUAAUAUAUAUAUAAAUCGACUAUUAUAAUUUUAUUUUUUUAAAAAAAAACUUUUAAAAUAUUUUUUGAUAUUUAAUAAAAUUUAAUAUUUUUAAUAUAAGUAUAAUAAAAUAGUUAAUAAAAAAAUAUCUUUCUUAAUAUGUGUGAAAAAAUAAAAUAGACAAAAAAUUACAUGACCGAGAAAGCAUUAAAUAAAGUGAUCGAAAAGUUUGAUUUUACACAAAAAUGUUCGGAUGAUGUGAUUUAGUGAUGAGGAUUUAGUGAUGAGGAUUUAAUAGUUAAUUUGAAUAAAAUUCAAGACUUUGAUAGUAAUUUAUCCUUGUUAUAACACAGACGGCUCAAUAUGAAACUUGAGAAUCUCAGCUAUAUUGCAAACAUCACCAUAUUCAUAUUUAGGUUCAGCUGCCAGAAAAUGCAAAAUAGGACAAGGAAAAAAAAAUGUAUAAAAAAAGAGGCAGCUUUGAUGACCCCCUUUUGUUGUAUACCCAAGUAGAAAAUCAAUCUGUAUAAACUGCAACUUGAUAUUGAUUUGAUCAAGUUUCUUCCCACCAUGAAUUCAUCACUAGUUCAUGUUUUCUUCAAAUGAACUUUGCCGAGGUUCCACAGAGGCAGAGCCACCCCAAGUUCUGAUGCGCUCUUCUGCUUUCAAAGCCUGCAUUAUCAUGUAAUUCUGUUAAUUCCGCAACAGAUGAUUUGAAAUACUAUCAAGAAUUUAGUUUCUUGUGGGUGCUGUUAAAUUCUUACGAUUGAUGAGUGCGUGUUUGCGUCUAGUAUUGUGUGUUUGUUUAGAUAAUCUCUAAUGUCUAUUGUCCAGGAAAGAAUUGUAGACUUACUUCUUUCUUCCAGUUAGCACGCAGAAAGACAAAAAUCAGAACGAUUAUUUGAAGCAGACAACCAGCCAACAUUCCUGACCAUAUGCCCUUAACACCUAGAUCAAAUUUGUAGCCAAGAACAGCACCUAUGGGAAGUCCUAUGAUGUAAUAACACCCAACAUUGAUGAAUGCAACUGAGAACUGCCACCCUGCACCCACUGCAACCCCUGCAGAUGUCAAAACAAAAACUUUUUAGUCACUUCACAGGAGAAAAGACUGGUGGAUACUGGAGAUUUUUCAGUUGCAAUUACCAUGAAGCACAGGUUGGAUGCUGUUGAGGAAGAUUGUUGCUGCCAAAAAGUAACCAAGCUUUGAUGCCUCCUUCAUCACUGCUGGUUUAUCAGUGAACACCUUUGGGAAAUCAUUCUUGGUUACCAGAACCAAAGCUGUGAAUACAACUCCAGUGAUUGUUGAAGUUAAAAGAGUCACCACCACUGGGAAUUUUGCUGCUUUAGGAUUCCCAGCUCCAAGCUCAUUUGACACUCGCACGCUGCAAGCAAAUCAAGUUGAUUCAAAAUCCCCAAAACAAGAUUUCUAUGUUGGAUUGAGCCUGUUCCAGGAUUGAAGCAACUGACCUUAGUGCUGCAUUGAAACCAAGAGCAAUCAUCAGAGUCCACCGCUGCAGGUUCAUGCUGCAAAAACAUGAGAUGAUCAGUAGAAAUAACUAGAUUAAUAUGAUAGAUAAGAACAGAACAGAACUCUUACCAGAUGGAAACAGCAUCUACUGCAAUUGCUGGAUUGUGUAACCUUCCCACCAUGAAAAUUACUGCUGUAACGUACCAUAGCUCCAAGCUGGCAUGAGCAAGAAGAGAAGAAAAAUGAAACCCUGAACAUGGAUUUUGCAAAAAAUACAAUUUGAACACUAACCAUAACAUCACAGCCGACGCAAGUGAGAGUUUCAGAAAACUGGAUAUUGAUUUUAAAGCUGACCAAGAAAAACCAGUCCAAGCUUCAGGGAAACAACCACAGAAUACAUAAACAAUCUGACCCAAAACCACAAGCCACCAUGAAAUGUUCCCUGCGACGGCAGCACCAACUAGCCCGUGAUCCAGCUUCGUGACAAGCACCCAAUUCAACAACACAUGAAUUGCAAGGGCUGCUAUGGAAAUGAUCGUCAUAAUCCAUACUCUGCUCUGAGCUUGGAGAAACUUCUGUAUUGGGAAAUUUAAGGCAUAUGCAAACAAUUGAGGAAUUACCCAUAUCGAGUAUUUCCCAGCAAGCUUUGAAAUGCCUUUGUCUUGAUGAAGUAGUUGAAGUAUUGGCGAAGCAAAAACGUAAAAAGGUGCUAAAAACAAUGCUGUGAUCCCAGUAAUGAUCCAUGAUCUUUGCAUAUAGAUCCCAAGCAUGUUGAGUUGUCCAGCGCCGACAGCUUGUCCACACAGUGCCUCGAGGGCACUUCCCAUCCCUAGCUAAUACGCAAAUCACAGCACAAGUAAUUGCAGAAACUUAGACAGUAGGCCAAAUUGAGAAAAGGGUAAUUGAGAUAUGAUUAAAAAGGCUGCAGAUUACUUACCAUCACACCAUAAACAAAGCCUUCAAUUACAUUCUGAACAAUGGAAACAGCAGCCAGCUCUACUUCUCCCAAAUGGCCAACAAAUGCAGAAGUGACGAAUCCAAUAGAGAAUUGAGCUACUGCUGUCAACAUAGCUGGUGCUGCUAUUUCCCAAAUCUUCUUUGAUUCAUCCCAGCUUUUUUUCACCAUUUUUUUCUUACCCAUAACUCCAUUAAUCACCUGCAUCUCUAUUCCAAGGCUCUUUUCUUGAACUGAAUCAUCUUUUUCCUCCAUUAGAAUAGCCGUUUCUGUUCCCCUUCUUCACCAAUUACCAUGUGAGAGGAAUAAAAACAACCUGGAAUCUUGGAAGAAGACUAGACAAGAAAGAUUUACAGGUUGUAUCAGAGGAUUAAGGAAAGAGAACUGUUUUAUGAACAGAAGUAAGAAGCUGAAAUAUUUUCAUACUUCACAUGUUUUCUUCUUGAUGUUAUUUAUAUGGACAAACUGCUGUUCAUUUACCUAUGGAAAACUUACUAUUUAGUUUAUACAAUAGAGAAAAAUUUAUUAAUUGAUUUUCAUAUGUGAUAUUUAAAAAAAUUUAUUAACAGAUUUUUUCAUUAAUUUUAACAGUCAAAUAUUAUAAAAAAAAAAUUAAAAUGUCAUUGGUACAUAGAGAUAAUUUAAUAGACUUUUACAAAUUUAAAAAAUGAAUUAAUAAAUUUUUAAAAUUAUAAGGGUUAAAUCACUAAAAUUAAUAAAAAAAUUAAUUAAUAGAGUUAUUAAAAUUUUAUGAACGUUUCAAUAUAUUUUUUCAAAAGCUUAACUACUAAGUUUUCUAUAAUAUUGAGCUCAACAACAAAUUCACCAAUCUUUAAUUUCAUGUUUGCCAGCUAACUCUUUUUCCUCUAUUCAGCUGACAUUUUUGACUACUUGUUGCAUAUGUUUGUAUGCUGCUUUGAACAUUUGAUUUCAUGGAGGUAGGUUGGUUCAUUACCCUCUGAAAGUUUAUGAGCUCGUGAAUUAUUAAAAGAAUUAGAAUGAGGUGAAAUUAAAUAUGAUGGCCUCCUUAACUAUAAAGGUUUUUUUGCUAAGGAGCUCCGUCAUUCAAUACUCUAAAAUGACAAGAACGUUUGAGGCUAUUAAUCGAUUCAUGUGCUUUUUUCUGUUAGCGUGGUUGGUAAAGUUAGGUAUGGAAGAGGUUCGAGCAUGUCUCGAAAGGUACAAAUGGAUCACUAAAGAACACUCAUUUGUCAUCUUUCUAUAUUCGGUAUGAAUUGAUUGCAGUCUUAGAGUAGAUUAUUCUUUUUUAAAAAUUAUUAAUUAAUAUCCAAAUCAAAUUCAUAUUUAUUAAAAUAAUUGAAUUUCAUCGAUUUAUUUGAUUAUAUCUGAACCAAACUUUUUCUUUUUUAUUCAAAUUUUACCAUAUCUGAAAAUUAAAAAAAAAAUGUAAAAUUGAAAACUACAUCACUUACCCUUUAUUUCAUUUGGCAUGAGUUAUUUUGUAAAAAAAAAUAAUUUAAAUAAAUUAUUAUAAAAUUAUACAAAAUUUUAAUUUUUUUUAAAAUAAAAAUUUUAAAAAUUAAAAAAUUUUAUUUUAAAUAAAAUAAUUAUUAAAAAAAUUAAUUGAAUUGAAUUUUUAUUAAAUAAAAUAUUUAAUUUUGAAGAGAGAAUUAAAAUAAAUUUAUUAGUUAAAAAUAAUAUAUAUUUUCAAAAUAUUUUUCAUUUAAAAUAUUUUAUGUAAAAGCCUUUUUCAUAAAGAUAUUUUUUAAGAAAAUAAUGUAUUUUUCAUUAUUUAAUUAUAAUGUUAAAAAAUAAAUAUUAUUAAUAAAUUUAUAUGUAGUGAUAUUAAAAAAAAAAAAUUCUCAAAUUCUCAAAGUUGGACUUGGGAUCUCGAUGGUAGGACGUGACAAGAUUAUAAUUUACCCUCUGAAAGUUUGAUUUUAUGAUUUCAAGGUAGACGAAUUUUUUAUUUCUCAACUGGAAUUUUAAUGCUCGUGAAGAAAUUGGUUAAGAUGAGCGAAGUUUGAAUAGAUGUAUUUGUUAGUGAAAGCUCUUUUGUUCUCCAUGGCAGCGUUUAGAAGAGAUGGAUGUCCAAAAUAUUCCUGUUGGCGAAGGGAAGAAACACUUUGAAGUUGUGGACAGUGGUGAUGUUGUGAUUUUGCCUGCUUUUGGGGCUGCAGUGGAGGAGAUGUUAACUUUGAGCAACAAAAAUGUGCAAAUUGUCGAUACAACUUGCCCUUGGGUAUCUAAGGUAUCUUUAUGAGCGGCUUUUAGCUGUUACAAUAACUUAUUGCUUGUAAAUCUUUUAUCUUUCCUUUGACAUGCGUUGUUGGUGCCCCUUAAAAUUGUCUGAAGGUUUGGAAUAUGGUUGAAAAGCACAAGAGGGGAGACUACACUUCAAUCAUUCAUGGUAAGUAUGCUCAUGAGGAAACCAUAGCUACUGCCUCUUUUGCUGGAAAGUAUAUCAUUGUGAAGAACAUGGAAGAGGUAUGUCCUAAGGGCUAAAAGGGCCCUUUUAUAUUUCAAAAUUUUGUGGUGCUUGUGAGCUUUUCUUUUUUAAAUUUUUUUAUUUAUGUCAAGCGUAGAUGAAAGUUGUCAAUGAUGCAUAUUCUUUGGUUCUAAGAAGCUCUUAAUUUCUACAGGCAACAUAUGUGUGUGAUUACAUUCUUGGUGGUCAACUCAAUGGAUCUAGCUCCACAAAAGAAGCAUUUCUAGAGGUAAAGCUAUAGAUUCAUAUUAACUCCUAAGGCUUAACUAAGUAUUUUCUUCUCCGGAAUUUUACAAGAUAAAUGUUGCCUUGCAUGUAGAAAUUUAAAUAUGCAGUUUCUAAGGGAUUUGAUCCGGAUGUUGACCUGGAUAAGGUUGGUAUUGCAAAUCAAACUACAAUGCUUAAGGGAGAAACAGAAGAGAUUGGUAAGUAUAAGUU